rnacentral:rRNA from 1 species
GACGAACGCUGGCGGCGUGCUUAACACAUGCAAGUCGAACGGAAAGGCCCUGCUUUUGUGGGGUGCUCGAGUGGCGAACGGGUGAGUAACACGUGAGUAACCUGCCCUUGACUUUGGGAUAACUUCAGGAAACUGGGGCUAAUACCGGAUAGGAGCUCCUGCUGCAUGGUGGGGGUUGGAAAGUUUCGGCGGUUGGGGAUGGACUCGCGGCUUAUCAGCUUGUUGGUGGGGUAGUGGCUUACCAAGGCUUUGACGGGUAGCCGGCCUGAGAGGGUGACCGGCCACAUUGGGACUGAGAUACGGCCCAGACUCCUACGGGAGGCGGCAGUGGGGAAUAUUGCACAAUGGGCGGAAGCCUGAUGCAGCAACGCCGCGUGCGGGAUGACGGCCUUCGGGUUGUAAACCGCUUUCGCCUGUGACGAAGCGUGAGUGACGGUAAUGGGUAAAGAAGCACCGGCUAACCACGUG